UCAAACCAAAACAAACUCAAAACUUACACAAUCAUGAAAAAUCAUAACGGAAAAGUAUACCGUGUCCGUCGGAGAUAGGGGAUCUCGUCGGUGAGUCGAAUCCGUUUGUGGUGGUGAAAGGUGGUUUGGUGUGUUAUUGGUGAAUGGUAGAGGUCGUUGAAGAGAUGCGUGGAUUUUGUUUUGUGAAGAUGAGAAAUGAGAGAUAUCACUUGUUUUGGAAAGUUGUUGAUUUGGUGUAGUAUUGAAUGAGGUACUUUGAAAUUAUGAAGAAGAAAACUUGUUUUUCUUUUUUGUUUCUAUCUUUAUCUUAGUAACAAGGAAAUGUAAUAUAUGGUAAUGGUAAAAUAUUCUACUGUAGUGUGAUUUCAAUAAGGAUCUACUUUUUCAAAUCAAUUUUUU
rnacentral:lncRNA from 1 species